UUAUAACCAGGCAUUUGUCACUGUAGUACCGUAACCACGAUAUUGUCACUCUGUACAUACGCCUCCGCCCUUUCGUGUACAAUGUGCAUGUGUCGCCUUGGAAUUAGGUCAGAAGGCCCGCUUCUCUUUUUUUCCUCUCUCGACUAUGCCGCUCGUAAGUACAUACAUGCGGCGUUGCCUCACGCCUCGCAUACCUGUCCGCCGCUUCGCGUCAGAUAAGCGGGCCGCUUAUCUUCCCUAUCUCUCGUUAUCGCUCGCUCUGAUUCCCGCUUUUCGACUCUUCUUGAUCUAACUACGCUCAGUUACUCCGCGGCGCUCUCACCUGUGUAAUCGGCUUGCGCGGCCCCAUCGGUGCAGUUUAAUUUAUUUUCUCGGCCCCCGUUAAUCGCACUUUUCCGCUCGUCCGACAGAAGCUUCGCAGACCCGAGGAUUCGCGCGGAUGGGAAGCGGUCAUUGAGGUCCCGUCGAGUUUUCCCACGUGCAUACAAGCGCAGAUUUCGAGAACACGCAGAGGAGACCGUCCGGGAUGCGUCCGCGAGAUUCUCGGAUGUCGCGCGUCGCGGCGCUCGUCCUUCUGAUCGGCCUGUGCGCGCCCGCCUACGCGCAAUCCAACGCGGAGACGUUCGAGAGCGCUUUCGGCCUGAGCAACGCUCAACCGGAGGCCGGCUCCGGCGCCGGGGAAACCUCGCCCGCCGAAGGACCUCACUCGGAGCUGGAAGACCUCGAGGGAGCGAGCAACGACGCCAAGGAGCCCGUGGCCCAGCCCACGAGGGAAGAAUUAGAGGAUCAGCACGAGGUGGACAAGCUAGCCGACGUGGAGGUUCAGCAGGAUCUGGACAGCGGCAGCAGCGGCGACGGCACCGAGGCUCAAGGCCCCAAAGGUUUGUCGCCCAGGAUCCUCGGCAGCGACGAGACCAGCGCCAAAUACGUGAGAUACGACUCUGAUGACCCGGAGGCCGAUCGAUAUGCUCCCCGACCGGAAGAGUCGACACCCAAUUACGUCAUCACGGAAGCGAGGCUCAAGGAGAUCCGCUCCAAGUUCAUGUACUGGUACUUCGAUAAAGGAGGAGAUAACAAUAUGGGUGACUACCAGACCGACAUUCACAACUCGGUCUCCCAGAUCCACAAGAACUUCAACUUCCAGCUGCCGUUCUUCGGAUUCCGUUACAACUACACUCGACUAUCGAUGAACGGCUACCUGGAAUUCAGCGAUCCUCCCGAGCAGUACGACACCUACCCGCUGGUGUUUCCCGUGAAGGACUGGCCGAAAACCAACGACCCGGCCUUCAUCGGCAUUUUCUUCAGCAAGUGCCGUAUCGGUCGCCUGAAGCCCACGGAUCUCGAUCAGCGGAAGCCCGGCGUUUAUUUCCGUCUAGAGCGCGACCUGCACAGACGUACCGACCAGUUCGGCGUGGAGAUGCGCGAGCGCGUCAUGUGGGACAUCCGUGAGGGCGUCGUCGGCGCGGACUUGUUCUACCCUAAGCACGCGGUCCUCGUCACCUGGAAGAACAUGUCCUUCGCCGGUGGCAUCGACAACUCGCUCUUCCGGACCAACACCUUCCAGCUGGUCCUGGCCACCGACGAGGUCUACACCUACGCCAUCUUCAACUACCUCGACAUCUCCUGGACCAGUCACACCGAGGCCGGCGGCGACACCACUGGCGGAGAGGGUGGCGUCCCCGCUUACAUCGGCUUCAACGCCGGAAAUGGAACUCAGAGUUACGAGUACAUGCCGUACUCGCAGGCGUCGACGGUGAGAGACCUGUCGGGUCGAGGAUGGGCGAACGGCUUUCCCGGACGUCACAUCUUCCGUAUUGACGAGAAGAUCAUGCUUGGCACCUGUAACAAGGAUAUCGCCGGAGCUCACUUGCCCCUGGUGUUCGCGCCCGAGAGCGGCAACAUGCUUGGCGGUACUGUGGUCAACAUCACCGGCCCCUGUUUCCAACCGGGCGACAAAAUCCAGUGCCGCUUCGACACGGAGAUAGUCGACGGCACCUACGUCGACACCAACAGGGCCAUUUGCAUCCAGCCGUUCGUCAAAGCCGAGGGCUACAUCCGCUUUGCCGUUGCCGUGAACAACGGCAGGUACGAUUGGAAGGGCAAGUACUUUAUCGAAACACCGGCUUCGGCGACCGAGAAGAUCUUCUUCACGACGCGAGCUGUGCACGACCGCGACCCCGCGGAGAUCAGGAUAUCCUGGAACUCGUACAAUUUGACCAGCAAUCUGAACGCCGUCCUUCAGAUAUCGCUCUGGGGAUACAGAGAGACGACCAUUCGGCCCGAGCUCGAAUUCAUAAACAUGAUCGAGGAAGGGACAGUGAACUCCGGCUCUUACGUCAUCACCCCGGCGAACUACAAGAACCGCAACGAUCCUCUGACCAACGACAUGCAGUUCGGCUUCCUCCAGAUCAACCUCACCAAUCCCAGGCAGUACAGCAACCUGCCCAUAACGCCGGUCCUGUGGAGCAAACCCAUACCGCUGGCCUGGUACUUCGGUCCCCAGUGGGAGCGACUCUACGGCAACAAGUGGCCCCAGCGUCUCUGCGACCAGUGGAUCAUGCACGACCGGUACCUCAAGAACUUUGCCGGCGAGGUCUCGCUCUGCCCCUGCACCCUCGAGCACGCCCUCACCGACAAGGGCCGAUUCCUGCCCGACUACAACUGCGACAAGGACUCGAACCCCGACUGCUACUACAACAAGGGGGCCAUUCACUGCGUCGUCACCGGGGCUCCGAAUCUGGACGGUUCGGAGCAGCAGUGUUGCUACGACAAGAACAACAUGCUGAUGUUGACGUACGACCAGCAAUGGGGCUCGCGGCCGCACCGAUCGCACAACCUCGGCUACCUGCCCUGGAACGAGGCUAACAAAGUGCCGACCCUGUCGCACUGGUUCCACGACAUGGUGCCCAUGUACACCUGCUGCAUCUGGCAGGAGGAGCAGGCGGUCGGCUGCGAGACGUUCAGGUUCGAGAGAAGGCCGUCGCAGGACUGCAUCGCCUACCAGAGCCCGAGCAUCGGCGCCGUCUUCGGGGAUCCCCACGUGGCCACCUUCGACGGGCUGGAGUACACGUUCAACGGAAAGGGCGAGUUCGUCCUCGUCAGGGUGGACGACGUCAAGGACAAGCUCGACAUCCAGGGAAGGUUCGAGCAGCUGCCCAAGAACUUUUACGGGGAGGUCCGCGCCACGCAUCUCACGGCCGUCGCGGCGAGAGGAAACAACUCGGCGACGAUCGAGGUCAGGCUGCGACCGAGUCACGCCCAGUGGCGCUAUCGGCUCGACGUCUUCGCGGACAACAAGCGGGUCUACUUCGACAGGACGUCCUUGAAGUUCCAGCACUUCGCCGGGGUCGUCGUCUACACGCCCACGUACAUCCUCAACCAGAGCGAGGUCAUCAUAAUGUUCGACACCGGGGCCGGGGUCGAGGUCGUCGAGAACCAGGGCUUCCUCACGGCCAGGGUCUACCUUCCCUGGACCUACAUGAACAAAACCCGAGGACUGCUGGGCAACUGGAGCUACGACAUAAUCGACGACCUGACCAACCCGGACGGCAUGAUCUCCUCCAUCAGCAACCUGAACAACUUCGAGGCGGUGCACAAGGACUUUGCGAUAAACUGGCUCCUCGAGGACAGGGAGGACUCGAAGAAGGGCGCUUCUCUGUUCACCCGGGAAUUCGGCCGCACUGCCAGCUACUACGCCAACCGGACCUUCGAGCCCGAGUGGAAGCGCACGCCCGAGGAAAUAUUGCCGGCCAACAGGACGGUCGACGUUAUCCGGGCGCACGAUCUCUGCGGCGACUCUUAUCAGUGCCAGUACGAUUACGCCAUGAGCCUGAAUCGAGAUCUCGCGCAUUUCACGCGCAAUUACUACGACACCUACACCCAGAUACGGGCCACCAACAACAGGAGGAUAAUAUCCUGCGGAAUCCUGGAGACGCCGCGAUUCGGACGGAAAAGCAACUUCCUCUUCGUGCCCGGGACGAGGGUCACCUUCGAGUGCAACCAGGACUUUGUGCUCAUCGGCGACCAGAGGCGCAUCUGCCUGCCCGAGGGCCGCUGGGACAUUCCGGAGUACGGCUACACGGAGUGCCUUCGUCAGCAAGAGUUCAGCUCGAGACAGGCGGGUAUGGCCUCGGGCAUAAUCCUGGUCUGCCUCGUGCCCAUCCUGCUCAUCGUCAUCUGCAUCGCCUUCCGCGUCCUCCAGAGCCGCAAAGAGGAGCGCGAACGAGAGGAGGCCUUGGACAGGACCCGACGGGUGGAGAUGCAGAGGAUCCGGAAGCUCAACGAGGAGGAGAGGCCUGCCUCGAGUCUCGAGGCCAAGAGCACCUAAAUCUGCCGACUGCUAUAUCGAUCGGAUGGAGAGAAGACAAAUCGAGAGUCAUCACGCGCGCGCGCGCUCUCAUGCAUCUUCAACCCUCGAUUUGGAUAGAUAUAUUUAUAACUUAUGCAUAUGUAUACUACUGUCAUGAAAGUCAUAUACCGAUUAAGCAGUUUUGUGUGUGCCCUCUUAUCUGCGCGAGGACGGCUGAAUGGAUUUAUAUUUUGUCUCUUUUUUAUGUUUUUACCUUAUCAUAUGCAUCAGACGUAGUUUUUAAGCUUCCUUUUUUACCUUUUUCUUAUAUUAUAUAGGGUUCCUAUGAUGUGAACGUGUAAGAGAAUAAUUAUAGCAUAUAUAGGCAUAAAGUGUAUGAUGCCGCGCGGAGAUCGAUGGUACAAAAUGUAUGACGCACGUACGUUUUAAUACAUUACUGAAGUAGGCGAUGUUUGUAGCUGUAGUCGUGUUUUUAUAUAUUGAAAUAGAAAUAAAUUCCGAAAAGAUUGUUUCUCUUAUGCAUACUCUUACUAAAAUAUAUACAUCAUCACGCUGAUAAUCGACCCACUUCGGAGGGAGCAUAAUUUAAUUUCGCAUCGCGCGCGUAAGUAUCAGUGAUGAAGUUUAUACAUCUGCGAUUUCCAAUGAAUUGAUUGCAUUCCGAAAAGUCUCCCCAAGUUUGCCGGGGGAAUGUCCGUGUACUCGCUGGAUUCCCUGGAAAACGAGCGGACAUCGACUCUGAAAAUCCCGGACUCGCUCGAACUAUGCACCGGAGGGAGUAAUGAAACCGCAGAGGUCGCCCGCGUAAAUCGGAGCAGCUCGAAGAAUGCGAUAAUUGCAUCGGGAGAAAAUUCGGCUGCUGCAGCGAGGCAAAAGGAAAUCCAGCAUCAGCUGCCGGCUUCCGGCAUUCCUCGCAAAAAGCUUGCCAGCGCAGCCCCACCCCCGGCUGCUGCUGCUGCAUCGCGACGACUCUCCGGACAGAAUAAGCGGCCCGAGUCUUACUUGGAACUCUAUCGUCGAAGAUUCAAGGGAGCGGCUGAUUCGUCGCAGAUCUUACGGCGACGCCGCGAGUGCCCUGAACUGCCAGCGCAUUAGUUCCGCGAGCAAAAAAGUCGUCGUCAGCAGCAGCCGUAACAAGAGCGUCGCUACGGUGCAGGGCCCUCAAAGUCGUCGCGCGCUGGAAAUCACCGAGGAGCCCUCCAGCUCUUCCGGCGUCUCAAAGCCGGCGGCGAUUCCUUCUUGCCGAUUGAAUCGGCAGGUCGUUAAGCGGAGCUGCAGCACCAGCACUGGACCCCCUCGACGCUGCAAUCAGUCGGCCAACGCGUCAUCCAUCACGAGGACGAGACUGCAGCCCGGGAAAUCGAAAGAAGGAGGCAAAGUCGAGGCGAGCUUGCAAGCGCUCAGGACGAGACAUUUCAAUGAGAAGCGAAUGAUAGAUCAACUCGUCGCCCGCGCAAUGUUGCUGCGCGCCUGAGCUUGCUUACACUGUUACUGUGUGUAGUUUUCUCGAAAGUUUCCAGCAUCCCUCCGGCUCGUUAUUAAUUCCGCUGUACCGAAAAUAAACCGUCGGGCCGCGAUGCUCCGAUUCUCUGCCUUAUCGUGUAUACAGCCGUUCUCUUGCGACGCAGCCUGGAAUAACAAAUUUCCGCGAGGAAUCUAAUAAAAACUUGCGAAUCUCCCCCGGGACCAAAAACGCUCAUCGGAUUUCUGUGUAUACCUCCGGAAAUAUAAACUGCUUUAACGUC